rnacentral:rRNA from 1 species
UACGGAGGGAGCUAGCGUUGUUCGGAAUUACUGGGCGUAAAGCGCGCGUAGGCGGCUUUGUAAGUUAGAGGUGAAAGCCUGGAGCUCAACUUCAGAAUUGCCUUUAAGACUGCAUCGCUUGAAUCCGGGAGAGGUGAGUGGAAUUCCGAGUGUAGAGGUGAAAUUCGUAGAUAUUCGGAAGAACACCAGUGGCGAAGGCGGCUCACUGGACCGGCAUUGACGCUGAGGUGCGAAAGCCAGGGGAGCAAACGGG